UGUAGGCCGCGCCCGCCCCUCCGGCCUCCGCGCUCCUCCCGCUGCUGAGCGGCUGCGCGCCGAGUCGCCGCCGUGCGCGCGCUCUGACAGAGCUCUGAGUUCACCAACGUGUCUGACGCACCGCGAUGGCACGACGUGUGUCGGCGAACAGUCAGUGAGACGUCUCGGGACAUCUCACCUUUGUGCCGCUAAAGUCUCGUCGCAUCCUAUGGCUCCCUGCUACAGCUACGUAGCGACAGUAGCAUCCAGCCCUCUGCGUCGGCACUGUUGCUGAACAGAUUGGAAAUGAAAGCACAGAAAGAUGAAGCAGUUUCACAAAGCAUUGCCAGGAGCAAGAAGACCCUGCACGAACAAUUCCCCAUCAAGUGCUUCCUCCUGAUUCAGAAACAGGACUUCUAGGUCAGCUAUGCCAUUUUUGUACACUGGUAGAAUGGAAAGUUCUGAAACUGGUAAAUCUGUACUGUGUAAUUGCUGACACGCUCCUGUCAUAAAUACUACAAGCUUAUAUUGUGUCCUAAAAUAUAAAAAUUCAUAUCAACACAUGGUGGCUACAAUAACAUGAGACGUGUCAGCAUUGGUGUGUUUCCCUCCUUAUAAUCAAGGAAACAGGAUAUUCUGAGUCAGAAGGGACACACAAGGAUCAUCAAUUGCUGGCUCCACACAAGACCACCCAAAAUUCAAGCCCUGUGUCUGAAAAUAUAGUCCAAAUGUUCUUGUGCCAGUGCCCACCACACUCUUGAAGAACUUCCUAACCCCGAACUGGACCCUCCCCUGACACAGCUCCAUGCCAUUCCCUCAGGCCCUGUCACUGUCCCCAUUGAGCAGAGCUCAGCAUUGCUCCCUGUGAGGAGCUGCAGCCGCCAUCAGGCCUCCCCUCAGCCUCCCCACAGUACUUCCCAAAAACUUCCUUCUCUGUCUUUUGAGAAGGCUGUUAAAAGGCAUAUAGUUGUUCUACACUACUUGAUCUCCUUAGCUGUUGAAUACACCAGCAAUUCCAAACUUUUCAUAUAAGUUCAUGAAAAAUACCAUCUCUGUGCAUUCUUGUAUACAUGUUUGGCCUUUUAAGCACUAAAUUGUUCUACUAAUGUUAUGGAUGUAACUUUCUGUGGAAGUCAAUUAAGUCAAUGUAUUGACAUGUGGCAAGAAAAAAUGCAUCGAACAUUUGCAGAAUUGGAUCAUAAAGGGUUCACCAAUAACAUUCCCUCAUCUUGCCUCGGUGAAGGGUGAGUUCAUUUGCAUUCAUUAUUGAGCUUGUAAAAUAGCUGUGCUUAGAUGUGGUCCUUCAGCAAAAUCUGGUCAUACUAGUUAGACCUACAUCUAUUCUGUAAUCAUGGAUUUUCCUUUUUACUUCGUCAUUACAACUUGUUAAUGCUAAACGGGACCAACUAUAUGCUUUUGUAUACACAGUACCUUACUGAUUGUUGUUGGUUUUGGUUUUUGUUUGUUUGUUUGUUUGUUUGUUUGUCACUUGGGGGAAUAAUAGUUUUGGUGUAAAUGAAAUAACACAAUUUAGUGGUGACUGCUAUGUACGGCUGAUCUGUAUAUAACUAAAUGCUUACCACUGAGCAGCAUAGAAUCACCAAGAUUGGAAAAGACAACUAAGAUCAGCUAGUCCAACCAUCAGUCCAUCUCCAUCAUGCCCACUAACCUACGUCACUCAGUAUGACAUCUACCUUUUUCUUGAAAACUUCCAGAAAAUGGGUUAGAGCAUCUAAUUGCUUUUGAUGAAUGGGAUUUAGCAAACUUUGCUUGAGGAGUUGGGAGAGAAAACCAAGGACAGGUUAGUGAAAAGAGAGCAUUAGUAUUCAUAUAAUCUUGCAGCUUCUUGAAUGACUGCACAUAUUUGUAAUCAUGUUGCUAUGACACCCAGUAAUAACUAGGAGUCUUCAUUUUGAAUUAGCAGGUAUGCAGAAUGCAUAGGUUUCUGUUAUUUGUAACGUUCUUCUUUCCAUGUUGUGUAAAUUUCACAUAAUGUGAUGGAUAGCUAAGGGAACAAAUGGUCCCAUAUCACUCUUCUGUCCUAUGCCAGUAACCCCUGUAAGCAUUUGCCAGCAUCAAACAAAUGUCAAGAUGUAGGAGGAGAGGUUAAAGACAUCAAUUCUUUGUCAAUUUUAA